UACAGAGGUCCCAAGCGUUGUUCGGAUUCACUGGGCGUAAAGGGUGCGUAGGUGGCCGGGUAAGUCUGAUGUGAAAUCUCCGAGCUUAACUCGGAAAUGGCAUUGGAUACUAUUCGGCUGGAGGGUCGGAGGGGGGACUGGAAUUCUCGGUGUAGCAGUGAAAUGCGUAGAUAUCGAGAGGAACACCAGUGGCGAAGGCGAGUCCCUGGACAACUUCUGACACUGAGGCACGAAAGCUAGGGGAGCAAACAGG
rnacentral:rRNA from 1 species